ensembl:lncRNA
GGGGCGGUAUCCGUUGUGGAGUAAUGGCCAGCCAGGAUCUGUGUGAACACCAAGCCAAAAAUGCAACUUUGCGCCUCAGUUGUUAGUUAAUUUAUGUUAUUUUGGGGACUGAAUGGUCGUCGGGGAAAGUCCGUAGCCUACUUAUUCUUUGCAUUCAAUUGAAGAGCAUUGAAGAGAAUUUCGCCCGGGAAUGUGAUAACACCUGUGUUUGGAGUUAAUGUUUUAAAAUAAUCUUCUCUUGAAUUUGGGUAAAGUAGUCAAUUGGAAAGCGAUAGAACUGAGCAAGCGGGGUGCAGGGAGAGAGAAAGCCCACAUUGCUGUACCGGGAGAAAUAACGAAUGUUUUGAGUACACGAAGCGUAAAACUGUGUGCUACUGCGAUUCGUACUGUCAGAAAACAGGGGACUGCUGCGAGGACUAUCGGCAUGUUUGUCAAAUAUCUGGCUGUCUGUCUGUCUGGUGCCAACAUUAGUCAUCAAGAAGUGCGAG